CCCGCGUUAGCUCAAUGGAUCAGAGCACUGGCCUACGAAGCCAGGGGUUGUUCGUUCGACUCGAACACGCGGGA
rnacentral:tRNA from 1 species